CCUACGGGAGGCAGCAGUGAGGAAUAUUGGUCAAUGGCCGGAAGUCUGAACCAGCCAUGCCGCGUGAAGGUCAGUGCCCUAUGGGCGUUAAACUUCUUUUGUGCGGGAGCAAUAAUGGUCACGUGUGGCCAGACGAGAGUACCGUACGAAUAAGCAUCGGCUAACUCCGUGCCAGCAGCCGCGGUAAUACGGGGGAUGCAAGCGUUAUCCGGAUUUACUGGGUGUAAAGGGAGCGUAGACGGCAGUGCAAGUCCGGAGUGAAAGCCCGGGGCUCAACCCUGGGACUGCUCUGGAAACUGUAGGCUGGAGUGCGGGAGGGGCAGGCGGAAUUCCUGGUGUAGCGGUGGAAUGCGUAGAUAUCAGGAGGAACACCGGCGGCGAAGGCGGCCUGCUGGACCGUAACUGACGUUGAGGCUCGAAAGCGUGGGGAGCAAACAGGAUUAGAUACCCCAGUAGUC
rnacentral:rRNA from 1 species